AUUGAACGCUGGCGGCAGGCCUAACACAUGCAAGUCGAGCGGAUGAAGGGAGCUUGCUCCUGGAUUCAGCGGCGGACGGGUGAGUAAUGCCUAGGAAUCUGCCUGGUAGUGGGGGAUAACGUCCGGAAACGGGCGCUAAUACCGCAUACGUCCUGAGGGAGAAAGUGGGGGAUCUUCGGACCUCACGCUAUCAGAUGAGCCUAGGUCGGAUUAGCUAGUUGGUGGGGUAAAGGCCUACCAAGGCGACGAUCCGUAACUGGUCUGAGAGGAUGAUCAGUCACACUGGACCUGAGCCACGGUCCAGCCUCCUACGGGAGGCAGCAGUGGGGAAUAUUGGCCAAUGGGCGAAAGCCUGAUCAAGCCAGGCCGCGUGUGUGAAGAAGGUCUUCGGUUUGUAAAGCACUUUAAGUUGGGAGGAAGGGAAGUAAGUUAAGACCUUGCUGUUUUGACGUUACCAACAGAAUAAGCACCGGCUAACUUCGU
rnacentral:rRNA from 1 species